AGUGGGGAAUAUUGCGCAAUGGGCGAAAGCCUGGCGCAGCAACGCCGUGUGAGGGAUGAAGGCUUUCGGGUCGUAAACCUCUGUCGGAAGGGAAGAACGGGCAUUGGUCUAAUAGGCCUUUGUUUUGACGGUACCUUUAGAGGAAGCACCGGCUAACUCCGUGCCAGCAGCCGCGGUAAUACGGAGGGUGCAAGCGUUAUUCGGAAUUACUGGGCGUAAAGCGCACGUAGGCGGCCUUGUAAGUCAGGGGUGAAAUCCCACGGCUCAACCGUGGAACUGCCUUUGAAACUGCAGGGCUUGAAUCCUGGAGAGGGUGGCGGAAUUCCUGGUGUAGGAGUGAAAUCCGUAGAUAUCAGGAGGAACACCGGUGGCGAAGGCGGCCACCUGGACAGGUAUUGACGCUGAGGUGCGAAAGUGUGGGGAGCAAACAGGAUUAGAUACCCUGGUAGUCCACACCGUAAACGAUGGAUACUAGGUGUCGGGGACUUGAUCUUCGGUGCCGUAGCUAACGCGUUAAGUAUCCCGCCUGGGGAGUACGGUCGCAAGGCUG
rnacentral:rRNA from 1 species